GACUGGUAAGUUAAAUAAACUGUGGGGUUCAUGUCUCCUUUAUACAUUUAUAUAAUGUCUAGUUG
rnacentral:tRNA from 1 species